GGACCAGCCCUUUUAAGUGAACCCAAGCCUUUGUCCCCCUCAUUUCAACGUGAACGAAGCUGAAAGCUUCAGAGGGAAAAGAAGAACGAGACAUUCCCGUAAACCCUCACGUUAACUUCCGUACGCCGUAACUUCUCCGUUCGAGCUCCGAUCGCCGCACCGUUUGCGGCCACGCGUUCACCGCGUCGAGCUCUACAUUUCUACCGAAACAAUUUCAUAGGUAACUUUUUUAAUCACCCUCAGCUUCAUCUUCCCCCAAUUUUCGAAUUUUAAGUGGGAAUAUUGAAUUUCUUUGAUUUCUGAUGUUUUAGGAUCCAAUUAGCUUGAGAGAAACGUUCACUCUUGCUU
rnacentral:lncRNA from 1 species